UCGUGACAUAAAUGAGCAAAAUGAAAUCCCUAAAAUUCCCAAGCGCGUAGUACUGUUCUUCUUCUCCACCAAAAUACACCCGAAUCCAGCCCCAAAUUCCAAGCGAGUGAACAUCAACCCCUAAUCCACGUGUUCAUCUACCUCUCUUCCUACCCCAAAUGGCUUCUCUUUUUUGUUUGAUUUUUGAGUAGCCAUUCUGAUAACAGAGGAAGAAUACAAAUAGUUAAAAUUUUCUAUGGUUUGAUUCCAAUGUCCAUUAAUGUCUAAAAUGUCAAGGUCUUAAGGUCUAUCUUUUCGUUUUCCAUUCCGGAUUCUGGGUAAAACGUAAUUUGCCCGAGAUAGUCGAACUCGUUGUUGCUCGAGGUGUCGAUUUGUAGCUGUUGCUGCUCUGUGUUGACUUCAGUGUUGGGGUUAGUUCAAUUAUCAUUCCAGGUUCACUUCUGCUCUUCUUUUGGUUUUUGUUGUAAAGUGAGCCAUGAACGGAUUGUAAAACGAUUUCAGUUAAAGUAGUAGAUGAGGUUUGUGUGGUUAUCUUCAAUUUCAUUUACUAUCCUGCUUUCAACUUCUUCCUUGAUUUCAUAUUUUGGUUAAUGAAUGUUCAGUAGAUUCUUUGGUCUUGAAAGUCAUUCUGCCUUCUAUCACUAUUCGACCAUGGUUUGUUUUCGAGGAAUUUGUUUGAAAUCUGAUUUCCAUGUAGUCGAGGCUUAGCUUUGUUCGAUUUUAUUGUAUCCUCAGCUGUCAAAGUGGAUGUUAUUGCUAAUUGAAUCAGUUGAAUGCAUCGUGUAUUUUCCUGAAAAUUUCAUGCUCGUUCAGGGAUUAGCUGCAAAUCAGUCAAGUUACGCGUAAUUUUCGUUCAUGCCUUAAUGCUAAGAGUGUAAUACUAUCCUGAUGCUUGGUUUGAAUCUGCCAUCUAUGUGCCCGCAUUUCGGGUGACCUGUUCAUCUUCGUCUUCACUUUAUUUGGCUCGCCGUGGACUGUUUUUCCGCCUUUAGGUGUGUCCGCUUACUUCAGUUACUUUCUAUUUGAAAAUGAAUGAAUGAAUAGUUGAGCUGUUAACUCUAUGAACACGACAAAUCUGAUGGAAGUCCUGAAUAUAUCAUAUGGUUUGUUCGUUUCUGAGUUCACUUGGCUUGUUUGCUAGUAUGACACUAGUUCAUAUCGAAUUUAGUCCAUGAUUCCAUUAUCUUUCCCUUUCUCUACUUAAAAGUGAAG
rnacentral:lncRNA from 1 species